rnacentral:lncRNA from 1 species
AGGGUAACGCACCCGGUAUUCGGUCACCUCCCAGAAUUCGGUCAGACAGCUGUUUCAACAGCUGUUUAAAAAAAAUAAUAAUGCAUGAGCCAGAAAACUUUGGCAUAUCAUGCAAGAAACCAGCACUUCCAGCCCACAUCAAAAAAAAUGUCGAUUAAGACAAGCACACAGCAAAAAAACUAACCUUAAAAUUGACCGCAUCGGGGGAUUUUGUUUACUUCCGGGUUUCUUAGCUAUUGAGUUAAGCGUACGUCGCUUCAUUUAAACUCUUGUGACGUCAUGACUUUGUGUGUAGGUGUAAUGAAUUUGGUACGAGUGUGAAGGGGAAGACUUGUGUAUUCACCCAAUCGCAGCGAAUAUGCAACUAGCGGUGAAAUUGAAGAGUAGCAAGGGCCUAUACAUUGCCCCUACAGUGAGAGGGCGCUCGACCAGAAUUCGGUCGCGCAACAUUGAGUGUCUUGCCGGUGUGUUUGUGAGAAGGGAAGAGCGUGCAUACACGUUGCUCCUCGCAAGUGAAUCACUUAUCUUAAUUCAUUUUCUGUUCUGUUAGGCCUAAAUAAGUUUAGAAUAUAUCUAAAAUUAUUUUUCAUGAAUAAAAACCUUAAAUCAAAGAUGUUUAUUGCCUGUAAAAAUGCAAUUUGAGCAAGUGAAUGACAAUGGUGACGAAGUUGGUGAAUUUGACCAAGGCUCAUUUUGAUUGCCUUUGCGUGAUUGAGUUGAAAUCUACAUCUUUCUCAAAUGAUAAGGCAAAUGAUAUGCCUACGUUAGGCCUAAAUAUGUUAAGAAUACACCUACAAUUAUUUUUCAUGAAUAAAAAUCUUCAUUCAAAGAUGUUUAAUGCCUGUGAAAAUGCAAUUUGAGCAGGUGAAUGAUGAUGGUGACGAAGUUGCCGAAUUUGACCAGGGCUCAUUUUGAUAUUGCCUUUGCGUGAUUGAAAUUAAGUCUUAGUGAUUUCCUUUUUGGCCUCAAUAGUCAAACUCAACCUCAAUAGAUAAACUGUGUUAUUUUUUAAUGUUAUCAUAGUCAUUUUCAAUAUUAUUAUUAAUUUGAAUAAUACAUCAGGUUCCAGGGAGGAUGGACCCCCCCCCCCAAAAAAAAAAGGCGCUCCCACGAGUGUUAUUUUAAAAUACGCCAUUGCUAGAUCAAAGGCUGGAAAAUUGCCCCUCAAUUUUGCCCGUCACGGCACAUAUCAAAGGUCUGCGGAUGACUUUUUUGGUCGUUUUAAUUUAAAACAAGGGGCCAUUUAAUAUAUCGUCAUCAUUGCUAAUAACAUCAAUCGAAACUGGAUGAAAAUGUUGACGAAUUCAGUUAGAAUUAUCAGUUACCUGUUGUGAAUUCGAUUGGAAUUCAGUUGCCCGAGUUAGGCCUAAAGUGAUUUAUAGAAUUAAUAAAAUGUCCCUUUCGUCUAAUAUUAAUUUCAAAUUCUUUGAGUUCAUACUUUCAAUCACUUUUUAAGCAGAUAUCAAAAUCUUUACUAACAGUAUUUCCAACAGCAGGUUGACAACUCGGUAUUGGAUGGUAGACAAGAUGUGAAUAAGAAGGGCGACUGAGGUAUAUGGGAUACCUAAAUCAACGCAUAUAUAGGGAUAAAUUUCUCCACAGAUCAAUGGGAAGACACCAGUAAAAUCACGGCAUGGUUCCAGCCCUUACCUCUCCGUUUCUAUGGAAGCAAAUUUGGCGGCAUGGGAACAGUGGAUGGCAAAAAUCGGGGUGAAGAGACUACAGUUACAGCAGACGAUUCAAAUUUAAUUGUCGGUCUCGUCGUUAUUUUGUCUUUCUUUCCCUCUUCAUUUUCUCGUUAAUUUUCGGGGGAUUUAAAGGACCAUUGAUGUAGUAGGAAAAGAAAUGACAAUAGCGAGGGCAGUAGUUUUGUGUUUUAAUAUGGAACCAGUAAAUGAUGAUGAUGAAGGAAGUUGCAAUAAAACAAUGAGCACAAUUAUGAAAAGGAUAGUGUAAGAAUAGUAGAUUAAGGCAAACAUGAUGAAAUUAAUUUAUGUACAUUAUCUUCAUUCAAAUUGUUUCAUCAAGAAGGCGUACCACACUUGUAUUCAAGAAAGAUUUAGCAUUGAGUGAAUUAAAGAUCUUCAAUUACCUCUUAUAUCACAAUGUUCCCUAAAAUUUUGUUUGAUUUAUAAAGGAAUGAUAUGAAAUCAUAUCGGAGGCCGACAUAGAUCUUAAAUCAUCUCAUAAAUAUUAUUGAACCAUUACUUUUAUUGUAAAAAAAUAAACUAGGCCCUACGGUAAUAUUAAAUCCAAGAAAUUACAAAGAAAAUAUAUUCUACGCAGUUGUUACGUCCUGGUACUAAUUAUUUUGCAGUGUAAGAUUGAUUUUUACAUUAUAUUGUUUGUAUUCAUAUCAAUUAUCAUUCUUAAUUUCAUAUAAAUUUUAUGUAUUGUACGUAUAGAUGGACAAACAGUAAAUUUUGUUAGAGUAUUUGAUUUAUUGAUUUCUUUCCAUUUAUGAAAGACACGAGUAUGAAACUUAUUUGCCAUUUGUAUUACAUGUAAUUCUACAUUCACCUUGCCAUUCAUUUCAUAGACUGAAAAAAAUAAACAACAUCUUGACUGCAAAGACGUUAAGUUUCAAGAACAUGUUGCCCAUUUGACUCUUUGUCUGCAAUAAAAUUGACUGAAACGACGAUGCUAAACCAUUUUCUGUUUGAUUCCGUUUUGGAUUAUUGUAUUAAAAAUUCUGAGUGAUUGAAACUUUAUAUAAUCUUAACGAGAGGGGAUUGAUAUGGUCAGCAGAACAGAGGAUUAAUGUUCAUUGGGGACCUCUAUUGCUUGAUCCACCCCCCUGAAAAAUACAAAAGAUAAUCCUCUUCUCCGAUGCCCAUAGUUUGAAUGAGCUAGUGUGAUCUACUGUUUGACAUAGGUUGUGUGGCUGAUUAUCUUUUGGUGAUUGACUGGAGCGACUAAAAACAAAAACCAAGUUAUUUGAUAGAUUUUCAUCAAUGACUAUCAGGACUAUCGGGAUGGCAGAUUGAAAAUAUGAUUUUAGAAAAUUAUGAACAUAAGUAAAAUCUCCAAAAUAAUAAAUUCUACUCAGAAGCGGAUCCAGGAAUGAGCCCUCUUUUAAUUUGACACUUUUUUAUCAUGUAAAGGAUCGGGAAUUAGGAGUACACAGACCUUGCUCCCCGCCUGGAUUUCCAACUGUACUGAAUUACCAAAUAAGAAAAAAAAAAGAAAAAGAAACAGACCAAAAUAAUUAAGACUCCCUUAAACAAAAACAGAA